rnacentral:rRNA from 1 species
GACGAACGCUGGCGGCGUGCUUAACACAUGCAAGUCGAACGGAAAGGCCCUGCUUUUGUGGGGUGCUCGAGUGGCGAACGGGUGAGUAACACGCGAGUAACCUGCCCUUGACUUUGGGAUAACUUCAGGAAACUGGGGCUCAUACCGGAUAGGAGCUCCUGCUGCAUGGUGGGGGUUGGAAAGUUUCGGCGGUUGGGGAUGGAUUCGCGGCUUAUCAGCUUGUUGGUGGGGUAGUGGCUUACGAAGGCUUUGACGGGUAGCCGGCCUGGGAGGGUGACCGGCCACAUUGGGACUGAGGUACGGCCCAGACUCCUACGGGAGGCAGCAGUGGGGAAUAUUGCACAGUGGGCGGAAGCCUGAUGCAGCAACGCCGCGUGCGGGAUGACGGCCUUCGGGUUAUAAACCGCUUUCGCCUGUGACGAAGCGUGAGUGACGGUAAUGGGUAAAGAAGCACCGGCUAACUACGUG